AGAGUUUGAUCCUGGCUCAGGAUGAACGCUAGCGACAGGCCUAACACAUGCAAGUCGAGGGGCAGCGGAGAGGUAGCAAUACCUUUGCCGGCGACCGGCGCACGGGUGAGUAACACGUAUGCAAUCCACCUGUAACAGGGGGAUAACCCGGAGAAAUCCGGACUAAUACCCCAUAAUAUGGGUUCUCCGCAUGGAGGGUCCAUUAAAGAGAGCAAUUUUGGUUACAGACGAGCAUGCGCUCCAUUAGCCAGUUGGCGGGGUAACGGCCCACCAAAGCGACGAUGGAUAGGGGUUCUGAGAGGAAGGUCCCCCACAUUGGAACUGAGACACGGUCCAAACUCCUACGGGAGGCAGCAGUGAGGAAUAUUGGUCAAUGGGCGCUAGCCUGAACCAGCCAAGUAGCGUGAAGGAUGAAGGCUCUAUGGGUCGUAAACUUCUUUUAUAUAAGAAUAAAGUGCAGUAUGUAUACUGUUUUGUAUGUAUUAUAUGAAUAAGGAUCGGCUAACUCCGUGCCAGCAGCCGCGGUAAUACGGAGGAUCCGAGCGUUAUCCGGAUUUAUUGGGUUUAAAGGGAGCGUAGGUGGACUGGUAAGUCAGUUGUGAAAGUUUGCGGCUCAACCGUAAAAUUGCAGUUGAUACUGUCAGUCUUGAGUACAGUAGAGGUGGGCGGAAUUCGUGGUGUAGCGGUGAAAUGCUUAGAUAUCACGAAGAACUCCGAUUGCGAAGGCAGCUCACUGGACUGCAACUGACACUGAUGCUCGAAAGUGUGGGUAUCAAACAGGAUUAGAUACCCUGGUAGUCCACACAGUAAACGAUGAAUACUCGCUGUUUGCGAUAUACAGUAAGCGGCCAAGCGAAAGCAUUAAGUAUUCCACCUGGGGAGUACGCCGGCAACGGUGAAACUCAAAGGAAUUGACGGGGGCCCGCACAAGCGGAGGAACAUGUGGUUUAA
rnacentral:rRNA from 1 species